UAGAUACAGAGUGUCGAUUGGUGCAUUCAC
rnacentral:piRNA from 1 species